AUGCGCGACUCCUGGAUCUCGUCCUUAUCCACCACUUCACCACCACUUUCUUCUUUUGAGCCUUCGAGGCAGUGUUUAUAAGAGACGCUCAGGCACGGGCUCGGGAUCCGAAUUGCACCCUCUGCGCAUCGUAUAGCGUAGAGAAAGAAGGAGAGACUUCCGGGGAUUCAUCGGGUUACGUGUGUUCGCUUGGCUAUUAGAUGGAUGAAUAUUCGCUCGCACGGAUGCACAGAUUUGGAAUACUUGAGACGCCUCGGAGAACUGUAAUAAUCCUCGACAGGGCACAGCCUACGAGGAGUAAUGCGCACACAGGAGCAAGUGGGUGAACCAAGAAUCCAUCUACAUCUACACCUACCCGGAAAAAUGAGAAUCAUGCAAUCAGUGUAUCCGUAUGAGAUAAAAGAACUACUACGGAACUAUACGUGUGCUACUUGUACAACGAUUGGAUAAAGCGGAAUAACCGGAAUAUAUAAUUAAGCCAACAAUUAAAUGAUAUACGUGUGUUACUUGUAUAGAGAGAUACAACGAAUUUUGUGACAAAUGAUUACCAGUCAGUCAGAUUGGAAGAAAAAGAAAGAUAAGAGAAGAGAAGAGAAGAGGAAGAAAACAAGACAAAAUUGUAAUUUUUCAUUUAACUGAAUCAACCGUGCACAGUUUUGUCAAUUUUUACAUCUUAAAAAAUAUAAUGAGCAAGGGGCUUCAAGCAGCUGUAAGAAUGGUAUUACUGUCGCUCUUAUGUUUCCGCCACAUCAGCGUAACCUCUUUCUCUCGGCUUUGAAUCAAUAGGUGGAUAGCCCCAGCUGCUAUUAUCAAGGCAACUUUAUUCUCUCUUUAAAAAGGAGUCUUUUUUUUAAAGAGAUCUUUUCCACCUAAUUGUCCAAUUGCUGCUGAAUUAUUAACAUUAGCCCGAAUUAUAAUCACUAUUCACGACUGCGUCGUACGAGGCAGCAGGAGAUAGUUGAAUCUCAUCUAAUCGGAUAUCAACAGCACGAAAUUUCUGCGACAGUCUAGAUUGAGAAUUGUUGAUAUGGUUUCCUACAGCUCGUCGAGCAUCCAAACAAUGAUUGCACGUGGAACAAUAGUCAUCCUGAUUAUCUCGUUACUGUCUCAAGUAUUGCAAAUUUGUGCGCAAAAAGAACAUUCGAAAUGCAGUGCGUGGGAUAAGAGAGAGGUGUACAGAAGGAUGAGCGGAAUAUGUCAAUGCAGGAAUUGAUUGUUGAAAAUAAAACAUUUAAACAUGGUUUUUUACGUAACGUUAUUUAUAUAUUGUUACGAAAUGUACAUAAUAUAUAAUUCAACAGGUACUAAAAAGUGCACAACAAAAUUUUCGGAUACAAUACAGUAGUUGGAAACGAAUUUCCGUUGACAUCGCGUCAUCGAAUCCUUAUUUUGGUCACCUCACGUAUACGUAAUGUGAUGCGCGGCGCGUAGAGAAUUUAUGAUAAAAGAUUUGGUAUUUGCGGUACACAGUGUUUUCCGUUAUCUAAAUAAAAUUAUUUAGAUUAUCGUCUA